UGACUGGAGAAGAGUGGGAGGUAGCUUAAAGGAUCUGGUUCCAGUAAAUAUCUCCUUGUUGCUUUAGUGGCUUCCUCUGUAAAACAAACAGAUUUCAGCUGUCCAUGACAAACAUUAAUGAAGACCCUAAAUAAAAGAAAGAAAGAAGGAAAUGCACUGACAAGUGGAUAGGACUACACAGUUUUGCUGAGGACUCUCCAGAAUGUUCCUAUGUCAACAGCACAGAAGCCACUGCAUUCACUGGUUCUGCUGAGUUCCAGAAUUAAAAAUUACAAAGCAGUCCAACACAUUUUCAUCCAGGAGUGUAAAUCAAGAUUGAAUUUCCAAGUCUGGGUCAUCUUCUCUGAUUUUCAU
rnacentral:lncRNA from 1 species